rnacentral:lncRNA from 1 species
CCCUCCCUUUAGAACCAUUCAUUUUCCCACUCUAUAAAUGCAAUAAUAAACUACUUUUUCAAUAAUUUCAUCAAGAAAUAGAGAGGAAAGGAGAAUACAGAAAUGGCAGCUGUAGUUGAUGUGUGCCUCGAAAAAAUUUCAGAGGUAAGAGCGAGAGUCGGAGCCCGAAAUUCAAUUAUUCGGGUUAUGGCUAAUGAAGUACACGAAAGAAAACAGUGGAAGCAAGAGUUGUCUUCGUCAUCAGCCACCCUCAAGUCACCAGCAAACGCCUUGAGGGAGGAGACUGUGUCAGAAAUGACGUUUUUGCUCAUGGAUCGGUUUGCACCAUGUUGAAAUUAAGUGUGGAAUCGAUUUUAUUUUAUUUAGGGUCUGUAUGAUUGUAAAGAUGAAAUUUGGGUGGAAAGAAAAUGAAUUUUAGAAAAUUGAAUUGCUUAAAAAUUGUUUUCCUGAUAAUUGUCAAUUUAUUGUGUUUGAUUGGUAUAAUUUUCUUACUUAAUAAUGUCAUUUAGCAUUUGAACACCAAUCUACGUGUCAUCAUGUCAUAGAUCCUAUUAAACGGGCAUAUAUAAAUAUGUAAUUUUAUGUCAUUAGUCAUGCUCUCUAUAUUAAUGUAAAAUAUUAGUGGU